rnacentral:rRNA from 1 species
GACGAACGCUGGCGGCGUGCUUAACACAUGCAAGUCGAACGGAAAGGCUCCUGCUUGCAGGGGUACUCGAGUGGCGAACGGGUGAGUAACACGUGGGUGACCUGCCCUGCACUUUGGGAUAACCCUGGGAAACUGGGGCUAAUACCGGAUAGGACCACAUGCUGCAUGGUGUGGGGGAAAGUGUUUCGGUGUGGGAUGAGCUCGCGGCGUAUCAGCUUGUUGGUGGGGUAGUGGCUUACCAAGGCGUCGACGGGUAGCCGGCCUGAGAGGGUGGCCGGCCACAUUGGGACUGAGAUACGGCCCAGACUCCUACGGGAGGCAGCAGUGGGGAAUAUUGCACAAUGGGCGGAAGCCUGAUGCAGCGACGCCGCGUGGGGGAUGACGGCCUUCGGGUUGUAAACUCCUUUCGCUAGUGACGAAGCGCAAGUGACGGUACCUGGUAAAGAAGCACCGGCUAACUACGUG